rnacentral:rRNA from 1 species
UACGGGGGGAGCAAGCGUUGUUCGGAUUUACUGGGCGUAAAGGGCGCGUAGGCGGCCACCGCAGGUCGACUGUGAAAUCUCCGGGCUUAACCCGGAAAGGUCAGCCGAUACUGCGGGGCUAGAGUGCAGAAGGGGCAACUGGAAUUCUCGGUGUAGCGGUGAAAUGCGUAGAUAUCGAGAGGAACACCUGCGGCGAAGGCGGGUUGCUGGGCUGACACUGACGCUGAGGAGCGAAAGCUAGGGGAGCAAACGGG